GGGGCUGUUUGGUUUUGACAGCAGGUAGAAUUAGACUGUAAGCAUGCCGAGCACUGUUGUUACGGCUCGUUAAUCUCGAACUUCAAAGCUAUAACUGGCGAAACUUCUUACGCUCUCGCAGCAUAGUCGAAGUACAGUAGACUAUCUUUAUUCCAGCACAAGGUGCAGGAACGAGACGUCUCCCCAAGGCCGUCGCCUCGAGGCCAAGGAUAAGGGGGCGCAGCUAAAUCGAGGAUAGUUGUUGCCGGCUCCGCGGUGAUGAUGAAAUAAAAGGAGAUAAGGCAUUGAUUGGUGGCCUCGGUCUUGUCAGUGCACGAAAAUUUAGGCGAGGAUAAGCAUGUAGAAAGCACUUUAGUUCCUUGUUUGGACGAGGGUUCGACUCCCUCCAGCUCCACA
rnacentral:tmRNA from 1 species